CUGCACGCCUCCCGCAGCCUCAGUUUCCCUGUCCGUGGUACUGAGGAUGCUCGGGCCUAGAAGUUCAGGGCUGGAGGCCCAGGGACCGUCGAGGGAGGGGCAUCAUCCCCGCCAUGGGGCCGCCGCAACUGCCCAGAGCACAGGCCAAAGGUCAGAGCAUGCACGUCGCAAAUUCUCAAUGACUGUUUGGAGGAAUGAAUAAAUGAAUUGUGAACAAAUGGUCUGAAGAUUCCAGAGGCCUGGCAGAGACUCAGUACUUCCACUCUCUGAAUGCAUUUCUUCUUCCUAGGCACACCAGAAGACUACAUUUCCUAGCCCCCCACCCCCUUGCAGUGUCUGGGACCAUGUGACUCCUUAAUUAGGUCACUUCUCUCUCCUGGGAGGCCCUCUCUGCCCUCUCUAAGUCUAACUAGUGGCAAAGGAUCUAAGGGAAGAAACCUGGCAGAGUUACUAGUCCCAAGAAGCCUGGGUCCCUGAAUCACCACAUGGAAGUCUACGCGCCCACCACCUGAAUGGACUAAGGAAGCUGCAGGAUGAAGACAACAGCAUCACAAGGAGGAAGCCAGGAUCCCUGUGUUACCACAAGGAGGAGAGAUGCCUAACCAAGACCGUCUGCAAGGAUUUUGUGUGAGCCAGAAGCAGAGCUGUAUGGUGUUCAGCCACUGAGAUUUGAGGGCUGUUUGUUACAGCAGUUGACCUAUCCUGACUGACACAUCACAUCAUUCCUUUCCCCACCAUGUGUCUAACAUGCUACCAAAUUGAAUUUUAAGUAAAUUAGUACUUAUAAAUUAAGUACAAAUGCUUUUCAAAUUCACAUGAAUCUUUGGUAAAUAAAACUGGUUGUAAAAUUAUUGAUA
rnacentral:lncRNA from 10 species